rnacentral:rRNA from 1 species
AUGCAGCAGAUGGCCACCACCGUCACGCUGCUGCUCGGGGCAGCCUCGUCCCCCGGUGAUGGCGCCGCGCGGGACGGCGUCCAGUGCUCCCGCAUGUUGCCUAGGAGGAGGCAGCAGAGGCCGCGGUGGGUGCUCUGCUCGCUCAAGUACGGCUGCCUCGGCGUCGGCGAGCCGGGGGAGGCGGGAACCCGGAGCGCGGCGUCGCCGGUCUACUCCAGCCUCACCGUCAGCCCCGGCGGCGAGGCGGCCGUCGCCGUCGUCUCCUCGGAGCAGAAGGUGUACGACGUGGUGCUGAAGCAGGCGGCAUUGCUCAAGCGCCAGCUCCGGCCACAGCAGGCGGCGCCGCCCGCCGUAGCCAGGGAGCUGGACGCGCCGCGCGGUGGGCUCGGGAAGGCCUACGCCCGCUGCGGCGAGAUCUGCGAGGAGUACGCCAAGACCUUCUACCUCGGGACCUUGCUGAUGACAGAGGAGCGGCGACGCGCCAUAUGGGCCAUCUACGUGUGGUGCAGGAGGACAGACGAGCUGGUGGACGGUCCCAACGCGUCGCACAUCACGCCGCAGGCGCUGGACCGGUGGGAGAGGAGGCUGGAGGACCUCUUCGCCGGGCGCCCCUACGACAUGCUCGACGCCGCGCUCUCCGACACCAUCACCAAGUUCCCCAUAGAUAUUCAGCCCUUCAAGGACAUGAUCGACGGGAUGCGGACGGACCUCAAGAAGGCAAGAUACAAGAACUUCGAUGAGCUCUACAUGUACUGCUACUACGUCGCAGGCACGGUGGGGCUGAUGAGCGUCCCGGUGAUGGGCAUUGCGCCCGAGUCCAAGGCGACGGCUGAGAGCGUCUACGGCGCCGCUCUGGCUCUCGGGUUGGCGAACCAGCUCACCAACAUACUCAGGGAUGUCGGAGAAGAUGCAAGAAGAGGAAGGAUAUAUUUGCCGCAAGACGAGCUCGCGGAGGCAGGGCUCUCCGAUGAAGACAUCGUCAAAGGAGUCGUCACUGACAAGUGGAGGAAAUUCAUGAAGAGGCAGAUCAAGAGGGCAAGGAUGUUCUUCGAGGAGGCAGAGCGAGGGGUGACCGAGCUCAGGAAGGAGAGCCGGUGGCCGGUUUGGGCCUCUCUGUUGUUGUACCGGCAGAUCCUCGAUGAGAUCGAAGCGAACGACUACAACAACUUCACCAAGAGGGCCUAUGUUGGAAAGGCGAAGAAAGUGUUGGCGCUCCCUGUCGCAUACGGGAAAUCGCUGCUCUUACCGUCUUCACUGAGAAAUAACCAGACCUAG